UAUCANGGAUACUUCCUAGAGCUCCAGCAGCUCUGUGAGGGAUGUGCGGCUACAAGAUGUGAAGGGCUGGAAUUCCUGCCUGAGCAGAUUCCUGCAGAAAUGAACUUUGGCUGGACACAAACAGCACAUAAAGAGGGAAAGCAGAUGAAAACUGGUGCAGGCCUCGGUUUCUUUGGAGCUAAACGGAGAGAUCCCAGGUGUCAGCGCCCCAGAGACCUGCCCAGCCUUUUAUAGAAUUCUUGGACAGUUUAUAGACAGCAGCUGACACCUGUAAAAUUCACCUGGAGCUAUUCAGCAGUUUUAAACACCUCGAUGCAAUUUAUCCAGAACUCCUCAUGCACAAAAAAAGUCAAAAAUUGAUUGGAGUGGCCGAGGAACUCUUCUGUCCUGUCUUUAAAAAGUGGAUAUAAAGCUGUCAGCUUUUACAGCUGCCCUCACACUGCUUCAAUCAAGCAGAGCUCUGGAGGGGAGAUUCCUUUGCAGCCUGGAGUCCUGAUGGGCCUGGAGGCAAGUC